UACGUAGGGUGCGAGCGUUAAUCGGAAUUACUGGGCGUAAAGCGCAUGUAGGCGGCAGCGCAAGUCGGGCGUGAAAUCCCACGGCUCAACCGUGGAAGUGCACUCGAAACUGCGCAGCUAGAGUCCUGGAGAGGAAGGUGGAAUGCUUGGUGUAGAGGUGAAAUUCGUAGAUAUCAAGCGGAACACCGGUGGCGAAGGCGGCCUUCUGGACAGUGACUGACGCUGAGAUGCGAAAGCGUGGGGAGCAAACAGG
rnacentral:rRNA from 1 species